AGUGUCAUCACCUCUACCAAGGAGGCGGUACACAGCCGGGGGAUGGACACCGAGCCGUUGAGGCUGCAGUAGGCUUGCAUGGCCACCGUCUCCUUGGACGACGCGCCGCGUUUCAGCUUGACUGCGCUGGCCAGGGGCCUCUUCGGGUCGGCCUUGGAGAAGCUCACCCUGGAGAAGACCAAGUAGUCCCCGGGCUGCAGGACGGUCAGCCAGCUGCUGUGGUAGUAGUUGACGUUGCUUCGAACCGAGUGCUUCAUGUCCCACUGAAGUACAGGAAGGCGAAUCCCCCCAGAGUGAGCAGAAAAUGCAGCACUACGACUGCCAGAAGAGAGCGGAACAGAUUCUUGCUGUGGCUUGCAGAUGGAGCCUGAGGCUGGAUGAACAACUGAGACUGGCGAGGGGGCAGCGGCGGCGGUGGCGACGCCACGCUACUGUGUGUUGAAGAUGGUGAAGAGGUACAUCAUGGCCUCUCUGCCGGGUCCGAAGGAGAAGAAGCCAAUCAGCCAGGACAGGCCCAACAGAACGGUGAGGCUGGCCACCGCCCUCAAGUCUUGCAGGGCGCUGCGACUGCUGGUCGUCGGCUCUUUGUUGGCGCCCCUCUGCCGGAUCCGAAGCAGAACCACCACGAACACGGACGUGUUGCACAACAGGACGAGCAGGACGAACGCCACCACCACCGCGUAGAAGACGACAUCGUUCUGCAGCCAGCAGCUAGCGCAGAGCUUGAGGAUAUACGCGGGCACGUAUGUGUUGAAGAUCUUGAUCAGGGUGAAGUACAUGUGGAGGGCUUCCAGGCCCAUCCAGGUGAAGGAGGCCAGCAGAAAGUAGUGCAGCGCGGCGGCGGUGACGAUGCACAAGCUGUAGUUGGAAAAGGACGAGAGCCACGAGUCCAGGAGGAAAAGCAUGCUCAGUCCCAGCAAGGCGGCCGACAGGUUGAUGAGAAUUUUCGACAGAUCGUCACGGCGAAGCUUUCUGGAAUAAGGUGGAUGACAUAGAGCGUUUAAUUAUAUGCGCAAAUGACUUCAUUGCAGUUUUAUGCAUUCAGAUGGCUCACUUAAAACCGAGGUAAGUGAGGAGAGUGAUCCCCAGGAAGAUGGAUGAUAUACCGCAGCCAAUGUACUGAGAUGAUGCUUAAAAUAUGAUCCUCACUGAUGGGAGCUCUGGACACAUCCUGAACAAAGUACAAAACAUAUUUGUAUUAAUAACAUUAAGGCUCAAAUAUGUGGACAUCUGA